rnacentral:ncRNA from 1 species
GUUCGAAUAAAGCGGCGUGUAAUUCAGGAACAGGAAGCCGCGGGACUGGUCGAUGGUGUGAAACAGCGGGUUCCAGUCGAACAUGUCGCGCAUGUGCUGGGACAUGGUAUUGGCCACGAACAUCUUGCCCGAGGCCACCAUGUUCACCCGG